AUCGUAGUGGUGAGCCCUUGGCGGUGCUGCCCCAGCCUCACCACCAUCGCUGCCUCCAAACCCUCAACAACAGCGAUCCCUCUACGCAGUUACCGCAACAAGCAUCGCUGCCUCCCACGCGGCGACCGCAGCUACAUCCCCACAUCCUCGCAGCAACCCUUCAUUCCCAUAGUGUUGCCACCAACUGCAUCACAACAACAGCA
rnacentral:lncRNA from 1 species